rnacentral:rRNA from 1 species
CUCUCCUCUCCCCCAAUCCCCACAGCCGCCACACCGGUCCUCCUCCCACCUCCCUUCUCGCCGUCGUGAGUCGUGACCCUCCGUUCUCUUCUCCUACACCGCUCCUUCACGUCGGCAUGCUCGCACCUAGCACCUCGUCCACCCCCAGUCAUCUUUGUUGCGCAAGACCGCAGAAGGACGAACGGCGGCGGUCCGAGCGCCGCCUCCUUCGCCAGCGGCAACGGUGAACACGGGAGCAGCGGCCCCGUUCGCCCGUUCCAAGGUGAGGAACGGACCCCCUCGACCUGUCCUCUGCGGCGCCGCUCCCCUUCCUCCGUUUCCUUGAUCGCCGGCGGUGGGAGGAUACCCGGGGGAACAGAGGAGGGAGUUGGACAAUGGGGUGAAGAGGCGCAAGUCAAGCAGGAGGUGGGCAUCACCGGAGGAGCACAACCGCAUGGGGAGCGGAGGAGGUCGAUGCAGGGGGCUCAAUAGGAUGGUUAGAGAGCGCGCAGCAUCUUGUGAGACAAGUCGUCUGCUAAGCAGAGGAUGCAGCAGCGCUGGCUCCUCCUCUCCCCACGCUAUCGCCUUCCUGCGUCGUCAUUGCCGCCACGGCCUUGCUCGCCAUCGACCUCCCCGAGUGCUUCUCUCCGCUACAUCCCCCUUUCCACGAGUUCUUGCCUUCAAUGCUAAGGUGAAAUGGCUCCUUCCGUAUUUGCCUGUAAGCUAUUCGAUGAAAUGCUUGCGUCACAACGAGUUCUUUUUCUUCAGUUUAUUCUUCCUGCUGCUAGGUCUUAGUUCUCUCAUUGACCUUGCCUGAUUUUCUCGUGGGUCUUGCAUUUGAAGCUCACGUGAAUGGCCUUUCCUUUAUCUUAUCUAUAUUAUAGUACUGUUUAAUGAAAUGUUAUGCCCGAACGAGUUCUUUCCUAUGGAAAUCAUGGGAUAUGAUAGGGGCUGUGAGGAUGUUGUUUAGUGUGAACUGCAUCUUUUUUGUUGGUGGUGGAGUUCUUUGAGCAUUGCUUAACUUGAAUGAUACAACUACUCAGCUGGGUGGCCUGAGAGCAUCGGGGUUAGGCCUCCAAAUGGCUCUUUUUGGUUGCGAUGGGGUGAGAUGCAGGUGAGGGUGAGGAGGCCAACGACAGGGUGAAGCAGCAGCCCAGCGAGUACUGCGAGCAGCAUGACGUUUUGCAUGUUCUCUUUCCUUGUUCUUCUUAUGGCUUUUUUCUUCAUCUCAUCAUUGACCAAUUCAUUGUUUAUGUGUGUAUCUAUUCUCUCCUUUUUUUAUUCGCAUGAACUGAUGUGCGUACAAGGUAAGCUUAUUCUUCUCUCCAGAUUUCAUGGAUGAGUUAAUGGUCUUGGUUAUAUGGUUUAUUCAGUCCACCUAAGUCGUGAUCUCUCUACUUCCACAUGACCGUUGUUGGUCCAAGUAGCAUAUUGUUGUCUCAUGUCUGUUGCGGUUUGUAGCUUAGAUUUUUAAGACUGGGCACUGUAGUGUUGUCUGUUAUGGCUGAUUGAUAAAAUGUGUAUGUUCUUUCUCAGUAGGUACAUAUGCAAAUUUAUCUUUUUGUUGGUUGUUUUUUGCUUCUUGCAGCAUCCCGGGUACAUAUGUGAGGCUAUGGGAAUCCUUUUUUCGUGUGAUGAUGAGAGGAAUAUGACAGGACAACCAAUUGUACCAUGUGAACACAAUUGCUGGGGGAUAAGCUGGUCAAUGCGCCAAAAUCUGAAAGAAAGCGACUAAAAUCAACAUUUGAAGAUGUUCAAAAUCAAAUAGGAUGGCUACCUGAAGUACGAUCCUCAGAAAUCAUAAGAAGCAGCAGUUAUUGGUACAUAAAUGAACAGAAGGUUUUGAGUACUAAAUAGAAGCGCUUGGAUCUGGGUCAGCCGGGAUCCGGUUGAUGCUGCCAUGGAGGAGCUCUCCACCGGUAGAGUGGCAAGGGCGAGCGUGUGAGCCGCUGGUGGAGCUCGAGGUGCUGGGGCACGACGGCGGUGUGCUGGUUUGACGCCCGACUCUAGGACGUGAUGGUCCGGUAUGGCCGCCUCCACAGGGCCGGGGACAGGUGCGCGCGCUCGCCGCGGAGGGAACGAGAGCUGCCCCCACUCCUUUUGUUCCCCAUCGUCGGCCUCUCCUCAUCCUUGGCAUCGUUGCUCGCGGAGGAGAGAGAGAAGGAGGCGGCGGCGACAAAAAGAAUGAGGGGGUUAGGGGAG